UGAGGAAUAUUGGUCAAUGGGCGAGAGCCUGAACCAGCCAAGUCGCGUGAAGGAAGAAGGAUCUAUGGUUCGUAAACUUCUUUUGCAGGGGAAUAAAGUGCAGGACGUGUCCUGUUUUGUAUGUAUCCUGAGAAUAAGGAUCGGCUAACUCCGUGCCAGCAGCCGCGGUAAACUACG
rnacentral:rRNA from 1 species